rnacentral:rRNA from 1 species
AUUGAACGCUGGCGGAAUGCUUUACACAUGCAAGUCGAACGGCAGCACGGACUUCGGUCUGGUGGCGAGUGGCGAACGGGUGAGUAACAUAUCGGAACGUAUCCAAUAAUGGGGGAUAACUAAUCGAAAGGUUGGCUAAUACCGCAUACGCCCUACGGGGGAAAGCAGGGGAUCUUCGGACCUUGCGUUAAUGGAGCGGCUGAUAUCUGAUUAGCUAGUUGGUGAGGUAAAGGCUCACCAAGGCGACGAUCAGUAGCUGGUCUGAGAGGACGACCAGCCACACUGGAACUGAGACACGGUCCAGACUCCUACGGGAGGCAGCAGUGGGGAAUUUUGGACAAUGGGCGCAAGCCUAAUCCAGCCAUUCCGCGUGAGUGAAGAAGGCCUUCGGGUUGUAAAGCUCCUUCGCAAGGGAAGAAAACUUACUUUCUAAUAAAGAGUGAGGUUGACGGUACCUUGAUAAGAAGCACCGGCUAACUACGUGCCAGCCGCCGCCGUAA